GGGCCUAUAGCUCAGGUGGUUAGAGCGCCAAACUGAUAAUUUGGAGGUCGGAGGUUCAAGUCCUCCUAGGCCCACCCCC
rnacentral:tRNA from 1 species